AAUCAACGCUGGCGGCGUGCCUAACACAUGCAAGUCGAACGUGAAAGCCCCGCAAGGGGUGAGUAGAGUGGCGCACGGGUGAGUAACACGUGGAUAACCUGCCUUUGAGUGGGGAAUAAC
rnacentral:rRNA from 1 species